GACGAACGCUGGCGGCGUGCUUAACACAUGCAAGUCGAACGCUGAAGCUUGGUGCUUGCACUGGGUGGAUGAGUGGCGAACGGGUGAGUAAUACGUGAGUAACCUGCCCUUGACUCUGGGAUAAGCCUGGGAAACUGGGUCUAAUACUGGAUACGACAUGUCACCGCAUGGUGGUGUGUGGAAAGGGUUUUACUGGUUUUGGAUGGGCUCACGGCCUAUCAGCUUGUUGGUGGGGUAAUGGCUCACCAAGGCGACGACGGGUAGCCGGCCUGAGAGGGUGACCGGCCACACGGCGACUGAGACACGGCCCAGACUCCUACGGGAGGCAGCAGUGGGGAAUAUUGCACAAUGGGCGGAAGCCUGAUGCAGCGACGCCGCGUGAGGGAUGACGGCCUUCGGGUUGUGAACCUCUUUCAGCACGGAAGAAGCGAAAGUGACGGUACGUGCAGAAGAAGCGCCGGCUAACUACGUG
rnacentral:rRNA from 1 species